rnacentral:rRNA from 1 species
GUGUACUCUGCCUCGCCUAGGCCAGCAUCAGUUCGCCCCGGGGGAUAAAGGCUUUGGGAAUGUGGCUCCCUCGGGAGUGUUAUAGCCCACUGCGUAAUACCCUGGGGUGGACUGAGGUUCGCGCUCUGCAAGGAUGCUGGCGUAAUGGUCAUCA